CCUACGGGAGGCAGCAGUAGGGAAUAUUGCUCAAUGGGGGAAACGCUGAAGCAGCCACGCCGCGUGGAGGAUGAAGGUUUUCGGAUUGUAAGCUCCUUUUGUCAGAGAAGAUAAUGACGGUAUCUAACGAGUAAGCACCGUCUAACGCCGGACCAGCACCCGCGGUAAUACGGAGGGUGCAAGCGUUACUCGGAAUCAAUGGGCGUAAAGAGCGAGUAGGCGGGUUAGCAAGUCAGAUGUGAAAUCCUAGGGCUUAAACAUAGAACGGCAUUUGAAACUGUGAUCCUAGAGUAUGGGAGAGGUAGGUGGAAUUCGUGGUGUAGGGGUAAAAUGCGUAGAGAUCAAGAGGAAUCCUGAUUGCGAAGGCGACCUGCUAGAACAUCACUGACGCUGAUGCGCGAAAGCGUGGGGAGCAAACAGGAUUAGAUACCCUUGUAGUC
rnacentral:rRNA from 1 species